rnacentral:rRNA from 1 species
GAUUGAACGCUGGCGGCAUGCCUUACACAUGCAAGUCGAACGGCAGCACGGGUGCUUGCACCUGGUGGCGAGUGGCGAACGGGUGAGUAAUACAUCGGAACAUGUCCUGUAGUGGGGGAUAGCCCGGCGAAAGCCGGAUUAAUACCGCAUACGAUCUACGGAUGAAAGCGGGGGACCUUCGGGCCUCGCGCUAUAGGGUUGGCCGAUGGCUGAUUAGCUAGUUGGUGGGGUAAAGGCCUACCAAGGCGACGAUCAGUAGCUGGUCUGAGAGGACGACCAGCCACACUGGGACUGAGACACGGCCCAGACUCCUACGGGAGGCAGCAGUGGGGAAUUUUGGACAAUGGGCGAAAGCCUGAUCCAGCAAUGCCGCGUGUGUGAAGAAGGCCUUCGGGUUGUAAAGCACUUUUGUCCGGAAAGAAAUCCUUGGCUCUAAUACAGUCGGGGGAUGACGGUACCGGAAGAAUAAGCACCGGCUAACUACGUGCCAGCAGCCGCGGUAAUACGUAGGGUGCGAGCGUUAAUCGGAAUUACUGGGCGUAAAGCGUGCGCAGGCGGUUUGCUAAGACCGAUGUGAAAUCCCCGGGCUCAACCUGGGAACUGCAUUGGUGACUGGCAGGCUAGAGUAUGGCAGAGGGGGGUAGAAUUCCACGUGUAGCAGUGAAAUGCGUAGAGAUGUGGAGGAAUACCGAUGGCGAAGGCAGCCCCCUGGGCCAAUACUGACGCUCAUGCACGAAAGCGUGGGAAGCAAACAGGAUUAGAUACCCUGGUAGUCCACGCCCUAAACGAUGUCAACUAGUUGUUGGGGAUUCAUUUCCUUAGUAACGUAGCUAACGCGUGAAGUUGACCGCCUGGGGAGUACGGUCGCAAGAUUAAAACUCAAAGGAAUUGACGGGGACCCGCACAAGCGGUGGAUGAUGUGGAUUAAUUCGAUGCAACGCGAAAAACCUUACCUACCCUUGACAUGGUCGGAAUCCCGCUGAGAGGUGGGAGUGCUCGAAAGAGAACCGGCGCACAGGUGCUGCAUGGCUGUCGUCAGCUCGUGUCGUGAGAUGUUGGGUUAAGUCCCGCAACGAGCGCAACCCUUGUCCUUAGUUGCUACGCAAGAGCACUCUAAGGAGACUGCCGGUGACAAACCGGAGGAAGGUGGGGAUGACGUCAAGUCCUCAUGGCCCUUAUGGGUAGGGCUUCACACGUCAUACAAUGGUCGGAACAGAGGGUUGCCAACCCGCGAGGGGGAGCUAAUCCCAGAAAACCGAUCGUAGUCCGGAUUGCACUCUGCAACUCGAGUGCAUGAAGCUGGAAUCGCUAGUAAUCGCGGAUCAGCAUGCCGCGGUGAAUACGUUCCCGGGUCUUGUACACACCGC